AUUGAACGCUGGCGGCAGGCCUAACACAUGCAAGUCGAACGAGUGGCGGACGGGUGAGUAAUGUCUGGGAAACUGCCCGCUGGAGGGGGAUAACUACUAGAAACGGUAGCUACUACCGCAUACCAUUAAAUCUGCCCUGAUGGGAUUGGCUAGUUGGUGGGGUAACGGCGCACCAAGGCAGCGAUCCCUAGCCGGUCUGAGAGGGUGACCAACGAAACUUGAACUGAGAGACGGUCCAGAAUCCUACGGGAGGCAGCAGAUGGGAAGAUUGCACAAUGGGCGCAAGCCUGAGGCAGCCAGGCCGCGUGUAUGAAGAAGGCCGUCGGGUUGUAAAGUACUUUCAGCGGGGAGGCGUUACCCGCAGAAGAAGCACCGGCUAACUCCGUGCCAGCAGCCGCGGUAAUUC
rnacentral:rRNA from 1 species